rnacentral:rRNA from 1 species
UACGGGGGGGGCAAGCGUUGUUCGGAAUUACUGGGCGUAAAGGGCUCGUAGGCGGCCAACUAAGUCAGACGUGAAAUCCCUCGGCUUAACCGGGGAACUGCGUCUGAUACUGGAUGGCUUGAAUCCGGGAGAGGGAUGCGGAAUUCCAGGUGUAGCGGUGAAAUGCGUAGAUAUCAGGAGGAACACCGGUGGCGAAGGCGGCUUCCUGGACCACAACUGACGCUGAGGCGCGAAAGCUAGGGGAGCAAACAGG